rnacentral:rRNA from 1 species
AGGGAACGCGGGCGGUAGGCCUAACACAUGCAAGUCGAACGGCAGCACAGUAAGAGCUUGCUCUUACGGGUGGCGAGUGGCGGACGGGUGAGGAAUACAUCGGAAUCUACUUUUUCGUGGGGGAUAACGUAGGGAAACUUACGCUAAUACCGCAUACGACCUACGGGUGAAAGCAGGGGAUCUUCGGACCUUGCGCGAUUGAAUGAGCCGAUGUCGGAUUAGCUAGUUGGCGGGGUAAAGGCCCACCAAGGCGACGAUCCGUAGCUGGUCUGAGAGGAUGAUCAGCCACACUGGAACUGAGACACGGUCCAGACUCCUACGGGAGGCAGCAGUGGGGAAUAUUGGACAAUGGGCGCAAGCCUGAUCCAGCCAUACCGCGUGGGUGAAGAAGGCCUUCGGGUUGUAAAGCCCUUUUGUUGGGAAAGAAAAGCAGCAGGUUAAUACCCCGCUGUUCUGACGGUACCCAAAGAAUAAGCACCGGCUAAAUUCGU